rnacentral:rRNA from 1 species
AACGAACGCUGGCGGCAUGCCUAAUACAUGCAGGUCGAACGAGAUCUUCGGAUCUAGUGGCGCACGGGUGCGUAACGCGUGGGAAUCUGCCCUUGGGUUCGGAAUAACUUCUGGAAACGGAAGCUAAUACCGGAUGAUGACGUACGUCCAAAGAUUUAUCGCCCAAGGAUGAGCCCGCGUAGGAUUAGGUAGUUGGUGUGGUAAAGGCUCACCAAGCCGACGAUCCUUAGCUGGUCUGAGAGGAUGAUCAGCCACACUGGGACUGAGACACGGCCCAGAAUCCUACGGGAGGCAGCAGUAGGGAAUAUUGGACAAUGGGCGAAAGCCUGAUCCAGCAAUGCCGGGUGAGUGAUGAAGGCCUUAGGGUUGUAAAGCUCUUUUACCCGGGAUGAUAAUGACAGUACCGGGAGAAUAAGCUCCGGCUAACUCCGUG